UACGUAGGGGGCAAGCGUUGUCCGGAAUCAUUGGGCGUAAAGCGCGUGUAGGCGGCCCGAUAAGUCUGCUGUGAAAGUCCAGGGCUCAACCCUGGGAUGCCGGUGGAUACUGUCGGGCUCGAGUCCGGAAGAGGCGAGUGGAAUUCCUGGUGUAGCGGUGAAAUGCGCAGAUAUCAGGAGGAACACCAAUGGCGAAGGCAGCUCGCUGGGACGUGACUGACGCUGAGACGCGAAAGCGUGGGGAGCGAACAGG
rnacentral:rRNA from 1 species